rnacentral:sRNA from 1 species
UAAAGAUUACGAGUUAGCCUCCGGAUG